ACCAGGGUGACCACAGCCAACAGAGGGCUCCGGUCAAACGUGGGGCGCUGGUUAGGGGUGCAGGGUGCCAUGGGGCUCAGCGUAGUGCGCUCAAGCCCUUGUUCGACCGGAUGUGAUGAACAGAAGCCGAUACGUGAUGCAUUGUCCACGCUGUACGUUCGUAUUCACAGAGGCCAUGGCGCGACACACUGCUAUCAUUACAUUCACUGGCCGACGCUCGGUGGCGGCUGUGUCGCCAAUGACAACGCCAGAACCUGGGUGAUAUAUACCGUCGGUCCGGGCCUGGCUUAUUGUGGGGGUGUUGUUGGCCUCGAAAUAGACGUCAUUAGACUGACGAUAAAUAAUGUGAUAUUGGGGAGUACAAUGUUAAAAGGGCUGGGUGUUGGGGAUGAGGGGGUACACGUCCUAAAAAGGGUCCAAAACAAAGGCCGGGGGCGACAGAGGGGCCAAGUUUCCACGACGACGGAGCAGAGCCAAGCCAGUAGGGGGCUGGUCACAUGGUGUCGAGGCCCAUUGAAAUUAGUGAGCGGAGCUUGAGGCUGGGAAUCAGUCUGUGGUGGAUGCCAAUGGGAAACAACACGAGCGGGUCCGGGAACAACGCGGGUGUGAACGUAACGGCAUUCAAUAUGAACAGGACCACAGCCCUCAGCCCAGUCGACCAAGAUGACAACUCUGUCCUUUACGAGUUCAAAGCGUUCAACAUCACAUUGAUGUCCCUGGCUUUGUGUAUUCUGAUUAUCACCGGCAUGUACUGCAGCAUUUCCUGUCACAACCGCAGAAGGCUGUCCAAGAGGGCCCACGUGUAUGAGAGUGCCGUGCAGUGCAACACUGCAGUCAGCCCCGUGGACAUCAAAGCAGUUAAGAGAUCCACAAGCAUCAGAAACCCUCUCUCAUACUUCAGACGGCAGGACACACCUAAAGACAACUCCGGGAUCUACUACAUCUACAGUAACCCCCUACCUAUAGGCUUGGAGGACGAGGAAACCGGCCAGAAUACUGCCUCCCGUGGGAUGGAGCGGUACGAGAAGCUAACGUUUCACGACUACGCCAAGGACCCCAAUAAUGGUAUCAUCCUGGACCCACCCAACUUCUACAUGCUGCUGUAG
rnacentral:lncRNA from 1 species